UACGUAGGGUGCAAGCGUUGUCCGGAAUUAUUGGGCGUAAAGAGCUCGUAGGCGGUUUGUCGCGUCUGCUGUGAAAACUCGGGGCUUAACCCCGGGCCUGCAGUGGGUGACGGGCAGACUAGAGUCCGGAAGAGGAGAGUGGAAUUCCUGGUGUAGCGGUGAAAUGCGCAGAUAUCAGGAAGAACACCAAUGGCGAAAGCAGCUCUCGUGGGACGGUACUGACGCUGAGACGCGAAAGCGUGGGGAGCGAACAGG
rnacentral:rRNA from 1 species